rfam:Biomphalaria glabrata isolate BB02 unplaced genomic scaffold LGTN_random_Scaffold1742, whole genome shotgun sequence.
UAGCUGAGCGGUAAAGUGCUAGGCUUACGAACCGGGGGUCCCGGGUUCGAAUCCUGG